rnacentral:rRNA from 1 species
AUUGAACGCUGGCGGCAGGCCUAACACAUGCAAGUCGAACGAGUGGCGGACGGGUGAGUAAUGUCUGGGAAACUGCCUGAUGGAGGGGGAUAACUACUGGAAACGGUAGCUAAUACCGCAUACCAUCGGAUGUGCCCAGAUGUGAUUAGCUAGUAGGUGGGGUAAAGGCUCACCUAGGCGACGACCCCUAGCUGGUCUGAGAGGAUGACCAGCAACAAUGGAACGGAGACACGGUCAAGACUCCUACGGGAGGAAGCAGUGGGGAAUAUUGCACAAUGGGGGCAAGCCUGAUGAGGCAAUGCCGCGUGUAUGAGGAGGGCCUUCGGGUUGUAAAGUACUUUCAGCGGGGAGGCGUUACCCGAAGAAGAAGCACCGGCUAACUCCGUGCCAGCAGCCGCGGUAAUAC